rnacentral:rRNA from 1 species
ACGGAGGAUCCAAGCGUUAUCCGGAUUUAUUGGGUUUAAAGGGUGCGCAGGCGGAAUAAUAAGUCAGUGGUGAAAUCCUACGGCUCAACUGUAGAACUGCCAUUGAUACUGUUAUUCUUGAGUUUAGUUGAAGUGGGCGGAAUGUGUCAUGUAGCGGUGAAAUGCUUAGAUAUGACACAGAACACCGAUCGCGAAGGCAGCUCACUAAGCUAAAACUGACGCUCAUGCACGAAAGCGUGGGGAUCAAACAG